rnacentral:rRNA from 1 species
GGAGUUAGCCGGUGCUUCUUCUGUGAGUGAUGUCCUUCCUGCCGGCUAUUAACCCGCAGGCCUUCUUCCUCACUGAAAGUGCUUUACAACCCGAAGGCCUUCUUCACACACGCGGCAUGGCUGGAUCAGGGUUGCCCCCAUUGUCCAAUAUUCCCCACUGCUGCCUCCCGUAGGAGUCUGGGCCGUGUCUCAGUCCCAGUGUGGCUGAUCAUCCUCUCAGACCAGCUACGGAUCGUCGCCUUGGUGAGCCGUUACCUCACCAACCAGCUAAUCCGACAUAGGCUCAUCCGAUAGCGCGAGGCCCGAAGGUCCCCCGCUUUCCCCCGUAGGGCGUAUGCGGUAUUAGCCUGGGUUUCCCCAGGUUAUCCCCCACUACCGGGCAGAUUCCUAUGCAUUACUCACCCGUCCGCCGCUCGCCACCAGGGAGCAAGCUCCCCGUGCUGCCGCUCGACUUGCAUGUGUUAGGCCUGCCGCCAGCGUUCAAUCUGAGCCAGAUCAACUACUGA